AAUAACACAUAAACGUUUUCUUCCCUCUACGAACUUCCCACUUGUCUUCUUUAAUUUGCUACCAUCCUUUAAGAUGCCUGCCGUUUCAGUGAAAGAUGUUAAUGCACAUGAAUUUAUAAAAACAUAUGCUGAGUACCUUGAAAAAUCUGGUCGUAUUGAAGUUCCUCCGUGGGUCGAUGUUGUUAAAACAGGACAUGCUAAGGAGCUGUCUCCUUACGAUCCAAACUGGUUUUACACUCGUUGUGCUGCUAUUGCACGACACGUAUAUAUAAGAUCUCCUGUUGGUGUGGGCGCUCUUCGUACCGUUUUUGGUAGCCGUAAAAGAAGAGGAUCUCGCCCAAGCCAUCAUUCCAAGGCUUCGGGUGCUAUUUGUAGAGCUGCAAUUCAGCAACUUCAAAAAAUUAAUGUUGUCGAAAUUCACGAGAAUGGGGGUCGUAUAUUAACUUCGCAAGGAAGGCAAGACUUGGAUCGUAUUGCUAAACAAGUGAAAGCUGCUUCUUUAUAAUAAUAAACUAAUAUUU